rnacentral:lncRNA from 1 species
UGUAUAUAUUUCAUUUUAGUAACACAUCACAUGAAUUACAAUACAUCAUCCAUCGACUCCUCUACACAUAAAGGUUCAAGACCCAACAAGUGCACAACAUAACAUCAAUGAUAAACGAAGCUUCUUGUUCCCUCCUCUCGUCCUGUCCUCAACUUCUUCUGGGUGCUUCAGAUCAUCCUGGUAAUUCAAAUAAUCAAACAUAAGAAAGCAUACAACUUCUCUCAAUAAAGGUACGGAUAAAAUACAUGUGAAUAUUUUUUUAUUCUAAUCUUUACGUCUCUGAAUAAUUUUCUAUUGUGCUUCUAAUCACCAGGAUGUCAAAAAUGCAUGCAAAGUGUGCGUGCACCUGGUAUAGAAUAUUACAAUGUAGCAUACAUGUUUGCAUUUAUUGCACAAGAAAGAUGACAUACAGAGAUACAACCUGAUGGUAUGAAAUAUACAUGAAGGCCAAAUACCACAGAAACAAUUACAUCUUCUUUCCGUGAUACUCUGAGAGCAUAAUCUAUUCGGCUGAGAAAGAACAAUGAAAGUAGGGUUGCUUACCUGCUGAUAUGAAAGUGGAUGGAUGACAACACCACUAAGUUCCCGGAAAUGAUUUGGAGUUAUGGAGUACAAAUCCUUUACCUAAAGAGUCAAAUUGGUAUGACGCGGCAAACUUAUGUUAUAAUAGAAAAAUAAAGUCAAAUGCUGUAUUACAUGGAGUAAUCGAUCAUAUAUACUGCUCUCUGGUAUGAAGAUUAAACAAGACAUGGCAAGCUCGCAAGCUACCUUCAGCGUUACUGUUAAAGGAGUUCCACCUCUUUCGAUGUGCAAAUUUAUCUCCUUGUCAACGCUCUCGUCAAGCAAGGACUCUAUAGUGAGAAAUUUUGUUACAACCUGUAAAUAGUUAAGAACAACGUUGAAUAAG